UUGAGCAUCGGAGGGUCCUCAUCGGAGCCAUCUUCGGUUAGGACUUAUGUCCAGGUUGCGCCCUCGGGAGGCUCGCUUUAUUGUCAACUCCGAUAUCCCAACACCAGAUGAAUUCUUGCACCAACACCUAUGAUAAUAGUUUCACUAUUAUGUCAUAUAAAUGAUACUUCUGUUUACUUUAAUUUUGACAAAAGUCAACCAUAAUGUAUACAAGCAAUAAUUAAAUAGAAGC
rnacentral:lncRNA from 1 species